UCUAAUAUGGCAGAUUAGUGCAAUGGGAUUUAAGCUCCAUAUAUAAAGUAUUUUACUUUUAUUAGAA
rnacentral:tRNA from 1 species